CAGGAGGCAGGCGUCGCAGGCCGCCCCCGGAGCACAGCUUAUCCGAGGCCACAGCAGGCCUGGAAUCAGGAAUCACUCCUGGCUGUUGGCAGCACCAGAGCCCUAACUGAGAAACCCUGGCCUGCCCAUGUAGCGCAGGACUGGCUGUAAAAGAGAAUCCUGAGCUUUGCAUAGACAACAGAGACACUGGCCACCAUAAUCCAGUGCAGGUGCUCAGAGGAAGCAGAGGCACCUGGAAGCUGUGAUCUCCUCGAUAAGCCUCCCUCGCUUCAGCAUGGACUGCCUCCAGCCACCUAACACUGCCCUCACUGGGAAGCCCAGAAACAAGCAGGCCCCUGCCAUUCAUGUGGGAGAACCGGAUGGAGUUUCAGGCCCCACCUCAUCCCCACAUUGUGGCCAUCUGGGGAGUGAACCAGUGGAUGGAAGAGCAUUCUCUCUAGCUCCAUCUCUCCCACUCUGUAAC